CGCACGCAGGCGGUCUGUUAAGUCAGAUGUGAAAUCCCCGGGCUUAACCUGGGAACUGCAUUUGAAACUGGCAGGCUUGAGUCUUGUAGAGGGGGGUAGAAUUCCAGGUGUAGCGGUGAAAUGCGUAGAGAUCUGGAGGAAUACCGGUGGCGAAGGCGGCCCCCUGGACAAAGACUGACGCUCAGGUGCGAAAGCGUGGGGAGCAAACAGGAUUAGAUACCCUGGUAGUCCACGCCGUAAACGAUGUCGACUUGGAGGUUGUUCCCUUGAGGAGUGGCUUCCGGAGCUAACGCGUUAAGUCGACCGCCUGGGGAGUACGGCCGCAAGGUUAAAACUCAAAUGAAUUGACGGGGGCCCGCACAAGCGGUGGAGCAUGUGGUUUAAUUCGAUGC
rnacentral:rRNA from 1 species